AAUAAAAUGGCUGAUUAGGCGAUAAAUUGUAAAUUUAUUUAUAAGAAAAAUUUCUUUUUUAUUA
rnacentral:tRNA from 1 species